UUAUAGCAGUAUGUGCUGUACUUAGUAAUGAAAGAGGUUUAUUCCUGAUCGCCCGGGUUCAUCCGUAUUUGGUUGUAUCUGGAGUAGGCAUCGAGAAACCUGAGGUCUCGUGGUCGGUCGUGGCAUCGAUCAUGCGAUCGAUGUUGGGAAAAGGGAAGGGUUCCUUGGGACAUGCCUUAUUCAAAUACUUAUUCGAAUGGACCCUAUUUUAAGGAGUUUAGAUACUUCGUCCUUGAUGAAAGCAAGUUUGACCUCGGACUGGGGUCUCAUCUUCUGCUUGAUCGGGUGGAACUUCGGGUCCAGGCUUAGCUUGUGAGUGGUUAUCUCCGGCGGGAUCCCUGUCAUAUCAAGGUGGGACCAAGCGAAACAAUCUUCGUUAGCUAUAAUAAAUUGAAUGAGUUUUUUCCUGUGCUCGGGGCUUAACCCCGUGCCCAGGUAUACCUUUCGAUCGGGCAUAUGUUCGAUUAGUACGACUUGUUCCAGUUCCUCGAACGUUGAUUUUGUGGCGUCUGAAUCGUCGGGGACUAUGAAAGAUCUAGGGACUCGGUAGUCGUCGUCCUCGUCUACCCCUCGUUCCCCUGAUCCUGUCGAGGUUGGUGUCAGUGAUUGUUAUUUGGCCCCAUUUUUGACCACCCAACUCGGGUCCUCCGAUGUUGAGAGUGUGGAUACCAUAAUCAACUCAUCGACCACAAAUGUCUCUUUGGAGGCCGGUUGUUCGCCAUAAACCGUUUUGACUCCUCCGGGUGUUGGGAAUUUCAGCACCUGGUGCAGUGUCAAGGGUAUUGCCCUCAUGUUGUGAAUCCAUGGUCUCCCAAAUAGAGCGUUGUAUCUCAUAUCCCCUUCGAUUACAUAGAACUUGGAUUGCUGUACGGUUCCGGCAAUAUUAACUAGUAAUGUUAUCUCCCCUUUAGUGGUCUCGCAUGCCAUGUUGAACCCGUUCAGGACUUGGACCACAUAUACGAUCUAAUCUUGUAGGCCGAGUUGUUCCACGACCCUUGAUCUGAUGUUGUUGGUUGAGCUACCUGGAUCAAUUAACACACGCUUAAUUCAAAAUUUAUUCAUGAGUACCGAUAUUUACAGUGCAUCGUUAUGGGGAUGCACGAUCCCCUCAGCGUCUUUGUCUUUGAAAUACAAGGUUCCUUCCAGUAUGUAAUCCCGAGUCCAUUUUUCCCUUGUGAUGGGUACUUUGGUGCGCUUCAGCAUCGGACCACCUGGGGAAUGUCGACUCCAUCUAUGAUCAUAUUAAUGACAUGCUGAGGCUUUUCCUUCUUGGUCUGUUUUUUAGAAUCCUUGUUCCUAAAGUGGUUCUUGGCCCGAUCACUCAUGAGUUCUUAGAGAUUCCCGUUGUUGAACAGUCGUGCCACCUCUUCCUUUAAUUGUUGGUAGUCUUCUGUUCUAUGGCCAUGAGUGCCGUGAUAUUUACACAUUAGGCUGGGAUUCCUUUAGGCUAGAUCGGACUAUAAAGUUCUUGGUCACUUGGUAUCUUUGAUGUGUCCGAUGGCAGAUACGAUAGCGGCGGAAUCGACGUUAAACUUGUACUCCGAUAAUCUUGGUUCUUCCUUAGGCCCGAUGGGCCCGUCGAAGCUUUUUUGCUCAUGAGUCCCCAGUUUCUCUGACCUCAACCAAUUCUUCUUUCAUUUCUCAUAGAGUUCUGUGUGGACCCACUGCUUCUUCGGUCCCCAUGGUACGACUGAUACCGAUCCCUGUUUGAUAUCGGUUCACGAUUGAUGUAUCUCUUGACUCUGUCAAUGGUUUUGACGGUAUACAUGGACUCGAAAGGGGUCCCAAGCUGAUAAUCUUCGACCUUGAUCUUUGAUUGAUACAGGUUAUGGACAUCGGCCCAAGUGACAAUGAUAAUUGGCUAUAUUUAUGCAAUUUAGACACUACUUACACUCUAAUUUAGCCGCACUUUAUUGAUAUUUGAAUGCUAAAAGAUAACAAAAUGCUCUAAUUAAGAAUUGAUACUUUGCAGGAGCUACUUAGAGCUAGGAGGGAGCUAACAAAUGUUUUGGAGUCAACAUGGAGUUUGAAAGGCCAAUCGAAGGUUAGCUUGGUCGAAAAGGAGCGAGAAAAGCAAGCGAGACGAUCCGGAUCGGAUCCGCAGCCGCGAAUUGGUCAGCGAACUCAAGGCAGUGAGGUAGUGGAAAUCCGCGGUUGGAUCCGCGGCCGCGGAUGGGCGGAAUAAAGGCAAACACACAGGGUUAAUUAUGUAAUUUUCUUGGCGACUAACCUAAACCUAUAUGAAGCCUAAACUCGCCCAGAAGUCAGAUAUAGCUGGUUUUAGAAGAUUUUAGAGGCAAGAACAAGGGAAAGAAGACAGAUAAUUUCCUAAGAUUUUUCAUCUUCUUCUUCAUACUUCUAUUUGUUAAUUAUGAAUUAUUUCAGUGAUUUGUUUUCCAUUAGUAUGAGUAGCUAAAUCUAUCAUCUAGGGUUGAUGGAACCAAUUAUUGGAUGAAGUCUUGACUCUAUUUUGUUAUAAUUGAGCCGUGUUUGUUCUAUGGUUGUUCAACUAUGUUUUGUAUUGUGCUUAAUUGAAAGGGCCCUUGAUUAAUCGUGUCUAGUUAGUUUGUGUUGCUUGAGAGAGAACACUUGGCUAGAUUUUUGUUGAAUAACACCACUUUUGGGUAAGUUAAGAGAUUAAUUACUUGAAUUUAUAAGUGGGGUUAGAAAUAACAAAGCUUUGGUGGGAUAAUUCAGAGUUGUAUAAAUUGUUAACUAGAGUAGUUCGAGAGAAUGCUUCUAGUGAAUUAUCGUAAUUGAUUGAGAGAUAAUUAUGGUAGCCCGGAACUCAUAAUCCUCAUAGAGUAUUACGACGAGAUUAUAGCUAAAGAGUUAUGAAUUAAUCCGGCAAUUGGGGAAAUCAGUAGCCCUAGAUCCUUUUACCCUUGAAUUCAAUUUUAGUCUUGAUUAUUGCUAAUUUUAUUGUCAUUUGUCCUUAACUAAAUAAAUUCCACUGAUUAUUCAUAAAACUCUUGCAUCCGGAAGUUGUGUGAGCUUAUCAUUAGCAUUAUUUAAAGUUGUAGUAAAUAGGUUAGUUCCCUGUGGGAUUCGACUCCGGACUUGAACCGGGUUAUAUUUGCAGCGACCGCUUAGUCCUUUUUACAAAGCAUAGUUGGGAGUGAUCAAAUUUUUGUGCCGUUGCCGGGGAACUAACGGUGAUAUUUAUUACAACUUAGAAGAUUUGCUAGUAUUCUUAACUUAGAUCAAUUUCUUACGAUGUUUAAAUAUUUCUAUUGAAAUUCUCACAUUUGAAUUCUCCUGUGACUCAGGUGUAUGCCUAGAAGCUCUUCAAGGACUGGUGAACUUUUUGAAGGACUCUCAGACCCCGAGAAAGCAUUCAGGGCAUUAAAUUGAGCCAAUAAGAAUAACAAAUAGUUACAAUAAAAACACACAAUGGAAAUUGAAAUGGACAACGUGGACGAUGUCAACUAAAACAAUCGGAAUAAUCAAGUUGACCCAAACAAUGGAGUGGUGGCACCUCUUGUGCCAGAAGCUGCUCUUUAUGAUUGGGCACAACCAACUACUGAUAACGUAGCCACCGCCAUUGUUGUACCUCAGAUACAAGCGGAGACAUUCCAGAUCACUAACAACAUGAUGCAUCUGUUGUAAAAUAAGGGACUGUUCUCCGGGUCAUACAUUGAAGACCCACAACAACAUCUGAAGAAUUUCCUAUCAAUAUAUGUGACCCAAAGACAACCGAAUGUGACCCCUGAAGCCAUCAAGCUAUUGCUGUUUCUAUUCUCUGUGAUUAAAGAGGCUCAAACUUGGCUGAAUUCGCUUCCAAUAAACUCUAUUGCCACUUGGGAAGAAUUAGUCAAACAGUUCUUAAACAAGUUUUAUCCUCCCAACAAGACUGCAAGGCAUAUAGAUGAGAUAUUGCAGUUCAGGUAGAAACCAAAUGAGACCUUGCAAGAAACCCGGGAAAGGUUCAAGGGUAUGCUAGUGAAGUUUCCACACCAUGGCAUUCCAGAUCAGAUGCUGGGACAGAGAUUCUACAUGGGUUUAGCAGAAAGUUUGAAGGCCAAUGCAGAUGCUUCAGCUGGGGAUGCAUUUUUGAGCAAGACAUUCACAGAGUACAAGAUUCUUCUUGACAAGAUGUCUCAAAAUUCAGGUUGGAUAGCUAGAGGUACGACACUUACACCAAUAGUGCAUUCUCUUGCGCUUGACACAAACAAUUCCGAUGCAGAGAACAUAGCCACUCUCAUGACUCAGAUGAACAUACUGACAAAGAAAAUUGAUGAGAUGGGUACAAAUCAAGUGCACAUUGUUGAUACAACAAAUGGAGGAUUCUGCACUCCUUGCAUAAACCAGUCAUAUGUGUGCUCGUGGAGUGGAGAGAAUGUCAACCAGGGCUUUAGAGAAGAAAUGAAUUAUGUCAAUAAUUUUGGAGGUCAAAGGCAAGGUGGGCAACAAUGGGGACCAGUACCAAACCAGCACUACAUACCCAACCUGCCACAACACAACCCCAAUUCUGGAGGCGCACGACCACAAGGUAAAGUUGUGCCGUAUCAAAGGCAGCAGGGCUAUAAUCAGCAGCACCUGUAACAGUUGGCCUACCAACCACCUCAUUAACAGCAGGACAACAACAUGGUAAAAAUCAGGAGUAUGCUACAACAACUCAUUGGAACAAAUGGUAAGAUACAAGAAAAGUUAGCAGCAGAUGAUUCAGCAAUCAAAGGCAUUGAAACUCAACUUGGACAGCUGUCUAUGGCCUUGAAAAAUUGCCCCCAAGGAACAUUGCCUGUAGAUACAAAUAUUAAGCCAAAGGAACAGAACCCAAAUCAGCUAAUGGCAGUGAGUCUCAUGAAUGGAAGAGAUUUAGACAGAGAGCAAGAAGUUGCUCAAUUUACGAGAGAGACUACGCCAACUACGCCAGUCACAUUAGAGGCAGAUGAGUCAGCAGAGCUCAUAGAGGUUGUAAUUGAACAAGCACAAGUUGACAAGGGUAAUGAGAAGGAUAUUGAAAAAGUCUCUGAACAGGUGGCACCUAUUGUGCCAGAAGUUUCCAACAAAGAAAAGACAUCAAGUAGUGGACAGAGGUUGACUCCUACACCAUUCUCUCAUAGAUUGGCAAAACAAAAGAAAGAUGAUCAAUACAGGAAAUUCAUCGAAAUGCUUUGACAGAUUCAAUUGAAUAUUCCACUGAUGGAUGCUUUGAGGGAAAUGCUAGGGUAUGCAAAAAUGAUGAAGGACCCGAUGUCGCAGAAAUUCGACUUCCAGGACCUGUCCACUGUAACUCUAACACAGACCUGCAGCGCGGUAGUGACAAGACCUAUGGACCAAAAGGUGUCUGAUCCAGGUAGCUUCACUAUCCCAUGCACUAUUGGGAGUUAUGCUUUUUCUAAAGCAUUGCGUGACUUGGGAGCCAGCAAAAACUUGAUGCCCUUGGUAAUCUAUACAAAAAUGAGCAUUGGCAGAGCUAGACCAACCUCAAUGUUGCUACAACUGGCUGAUCGCAAAGUCAAAAGACCGACAGUAAUUCUUGAUGAUAUGCUUGUGCAAGUGGGGAAAUUUGUAUUUUCUGCAGACUUUGUUAUUCUUGACUGUCAGGUGGAUGAAGAGAUACCCAUCAUUCUAGGAAGGCCAUUCUUAGCCACUGGGAGAGUAUUAAUUGAUUGUGAGACUGGAGAGUUGAAAAUGAGGUUGAACAAUGAAGAAAUAAUAUUCAAUGUUCAACAAUCCAUGAGGAGACCCAGUGAAUUUGCAAACUGCUCACUAGUGGAGGCUGUGGAUAUGAUAUUGCAAGAAGAGGGUGAGACCUUUAAUGUCAAGAAUCCACUAGAAGCCUGCUUGAUGAAUUUGGAAGAGAUGGACAGUGAAUGGUUGGCAGAGUGGGUCAUGGCUCUCGAAGGUCAAGGAUUCUGGAAAAGGGAACCUCAUUUCGAGCCCCUACACUUAGAAGAGAGAGAGCAGCACAACCUGCAAAACCAUCAAUAGAGGAGCCACCACAGCUGGACUUGAAACCGCUUCCAGCCCACCUCAGGUACGCUUUCUUGGGGCCUAAUUUUACUUUGCCUGUUAUUAUAUCAUCUGGUUUGCUAGCUGUGUAGGUAGAGAAAUUAUUGCAGGUAUUGUAAAAAUGUAAGACUGCCAUUGGUUGGGCCAUGGAAGACAUAAAGGGUAUCAGCCCAGCCUUUUGCAUACACAAGAUUCUUCUGGAAGAGGGGCACAAACCUUCCAGGGAACAUCAACGAAGGCUGAACCCGAAUAUGAAGUAAGUAGUAAAGAAGGAAGUGGUCAGGUUGCUGGAUGCGGGUAUCAUCUUCCCCAUCUCUGACAGCAACCGGGAAAGUCCUGUCCAAUGUGUGCAGAAAAAGGGAGGAAUGGCGGUCGUACAAAAUGAGAAUAACGAGUUGAUCUCGACUCAUACAGUCACGGGGUGGAGGAUUUGCAUGGACUAUCGGAAACUGAACACAACCACUCGAAAGGACCAUUUCCUAUUGCCUUUCAUUGACCAAAUGUUGGACAGGUUUGCUGGGCGGUCGCACUUCUGUUUCUUGGAUGGAUACUCGGGGUAUAACCAGAUAUCAAUAGCCCCGGAAGACAGAGAGAAAACAUCCUUCACUUUUCCAUUUGGAAUCUUUGCCUUUCGGAGAAUGCCCUUUGGACUUUUCAAUGCACCGGCUACAUUCCAGUGGUGCAUGUUACCCAUUUUUACUGACAUGGUGGAGUAUAUUAUGGAGGUGUUUAUGGAUGAUUUCUCCAUGGUGGUGGAUUCAUUCGAAGAUUGUCUUCACAAUUUAAGAAGAGUGCUGAAAAGAUGUGUGGAGACAAAUUUGGUGCUGAAUUGGGGAAAAUGCCAUUUUAUGGUACAAGAAGGAAUAAUUUUGGGGGCAUCGAGUGUCCAGUAAGGGAAUUGAGGUCGACCAUGCUAAGGUUGAUGUGAUUGAGAAAUUGCUAACGCCCACUUCGAUCAAGGCAGUGAGAAGUUUCCUUGGGCACGCCGGGUUCUACAGGCGAUUCAUAAAAUAUUUUUCCAAGAUUGCUAACCCUUUAUGUAAGCUUCUUGAAAAUGAUCAGCCCUUUGUGUUUUCUAAUGAUUGCAAGUUGGCAUUUGAGGAGCUGAAGAAGAGACUGAUAACUGCAUCCAUCAUUGUUACACCCAACUAUGAGCAACCAUUUGAGCUCAUGUGUGACGCUAGUGAUUAUGCUAUAGGAGCAGUUUUGGGGUAGCGAAAAAACAAGAUGAAGCACCCGAUUUACUAUGCAAGCAGGACACUCAGCGGUGCACAACUCAAUUACACUGUAAUGGAAAAGGAAAUGCUAGCUGCAGUGUUUGCCUUCGACAAAUUCAAGUCGUACUUAAUUGGUUCAAAAGCUAUUGUUUAUACUGACCAUGCAGCAAUUAGGUACUUGAUAGGAAAGAAGGAAUCAAAGUCACGCUUGAUUCGCUGGGUUCUUUUGCUACAAGAAUUCGAUUUGGAAAUCCGUGACAGAAAGAGGAUGGGCAAUCAUGUGGCAGACCACCUCUCAAGAUUGGAAGGAGCUGAAAAGAAAAUGGAGGUUGAAGACAUAACAGAGACAUUCCUGAAUGAAUAGUUACUUGCUAUGACAAUGGAGGAGACGCCAUGGUAUGCUGAUAUUGCUAACUAUUUAGCAAGCGGUAUUGUAUCUUAUGAACUCUCCUUAAUUCAAAAGAAAAAGUUCUUCUGCGAUUGUCGAGCCUAUUAUUGGGACGAACCUCUAUUGAUUAAAAUAUGUGUAGAUAACAUGAUCCGGAGGUGUAUCCCCGAGAAAGAUCAACCUUCUGUUUUGCAGGCUUGCCAUGCUUCACCAUAUGGUGGACACUUUGGAGGAAUCCGGACAACAACAAAUAUUGGUAGCGGAUGCCCAUGCUAGGGUCAAAAAUAGGCCUACCCUGUUCAAGGAUGCCUAUGCUAGGGUAAAAAAUUGCGAUGAAUUCCAAAGGACAUGCAACAUAUCUCGCCGUCACUAGAUGCCGAUGACCACAAUUCAAGAGGUGGAGGUUUUUGACAUGUGGGGGAUCGAUUUUAUGGGGCCGUUCGUCAGCUCGUAUGGUAACAAAUAUAUAUUGGUAGCGGUUGACUAUGUCUCCAAGUGGGUCGAAGCGGUAGCUCUCCCAACCAAUGAUGCAAAAGGGGUUACAAGUUUCCUAAAGAAAAACAUUUUCACACGUUUUGGCACCCCGAGAGCCAUAAUCAGUGAUAGUGGAACCCAUUUUUGUAAUAGAGCGUUCGCACGUCUGUUGGAAAAGUAUGGAGUUCGCCACAUAGUAGCCACACUGUACCACCCACAGACGAGCAGGCAAGUUGAAGUGUCCAAUAGAGAAAUUAAAAGUGUCUUGACAAAGACAGUGAAUGCAAUAAGGACUGAUUGGGCGAAGAAGCUGGAUGAUGCAUUAUGGGUGUACCGCACAUCAUUCAAAACUCUAAUUGGUAUGUCACCAUACAAGUUGGUAUUUGGAAAGGCAUGCCACUUUCCAGUAGAGCUCGAACAUAAAGCACUUUAGGCACUGCGGUAGUUGAAUCUGGAUAUAGAGACCGCAAGCACCAGCAGAGUCACUGAGUUACAUGAGCUCGAGGAAUUCAGGUUCCAUGCAUUUGAGAAUUCUCGAUUAUACAAAGAAACGAUGAAAAUGAUCCAUAAUAAACACAUAUUAGAUCAUAACUUCAAGCCCGGAGAUCUAGUGUUGUUAUACAACUUGAGAUUGGGAUUGUUUUCGGGUAAGUUGAAGUCCCGAUGGUCAGGACCCUUCAGAGUGGUGCAGGUGUUCUCAAGUGGGGCUGUGGAGAUUGAAUCCGAAGAUGGGACAAAUAAGUUCACGGUAAAUGGGCAAAGUCUAAAACAUUACCUUGGAAUGGUCGAAGAGAAAGGGGAUAGAGUGGUGAUAACUUUGGAAGAGCCCCAGUACGCGAACGAGGAGUAAUAAUGAAAGCCUGCGUCAUGCCACGACGUUAAAUCAGGCGCUUCCUGGGAGGUAACCCAUGGUUUGUUGUAAAUCGUCGGGCUGCGACGUUAACUUAGGCGCUUUUUGGGAGGCAACCUAUUAUUUUCCUACUUUGGUUAUUGUAAUUGAUUUUGAAUGACUUUGACCGAUCUACUAGUGUUUAGGGCAAAAUUUAUGCGCAUCAGAAGGAUUCAGGUUUCGAAAUUAACCCGAGAAUAGGUAAAAAUGUGGCAAAGACAAAAAUUGGCUGGAGACGGAGAUCCACGGCUUUGAAUUAGACCGCGGAUAUGGCCGCGAAUUUUGGCCUAUAUUUUGUCCCCCAUUUGCGGCCGCGGAUUGGACCGUGGAUUAGGGCAUGGAUUCUUUUCCCUCUUCUGCCUAGAAUCUACGACUGCGGAUUGGGUGCGGAUUCUUGGCCCCCCUCUGCCUAGAAUUUGCUAUCGCGGAUUGGACCAUGGAUUGGGGCACGGAUUUGGGGCGUGUCCAGGUAACAUGCAACCUUUAAGGAAGAGACACGCUACCGGGACCUCAUCAAGUGGUCAUGGAGGCUCAUCUCGGGGACGGGCACCGGCCAGUGCAGCUCAGUUUGAUUGUACCAGGUUUGUCUCCAGAGCUGCCUAAGACCGUUUCAAUUUGAAGGCCACGAAAAAACAUGUACCGGAAAGGGGUAUUGACAGUGUGUUCCUCUAGGAUGAGUGCCCUAAUAUGUAUCGGGAGUUGAUCAGGCGAAGAUUGGACAGUUGUUUCGAAGAGCCGGAGGAGGGUAACUUGAUGCUUGUUCGGGAGUUCUAUGACAACUGCCCCGAACAUGAGCAUAGAAUAUGCACUGUGCGACACACGAGGAUGGAUGCCUCGAUAGAAGCCAUCAGGAGAGUGUAUCGAUUGCUUUAAUUCAAUGGGGAAGAGGAUUUCUAUGAUACUUACAGGAGAGAACCCAUCAUAUGGAACAGGUUUUUCAGCACUAUCUCUGCACCAGACAAAGAGGUAGUGUGGGUUGUGUCGGGAUCUAAGUUACACUCUUUCUCACUCACUUUUGAAAGAAAGUGUUGGUUGUACAUCAUCAACAGUCGCUUGUUGCCGUCGCACAAUACCAUGGAGGUAAAUGGUCCGAGAGCUGCCUUGAUAUGGUGCUUAGUGAAUAGCCACGACUUUGAUGUGGCCAAGGUUAUUCAGUCUGAGAUGUUCGUCCAUUCACCACAUAAGAGGUAUGGGUUCUUUUUCCCCUCUAUGAUCACUAGAUUAUGCCGGGCAGCAAGAGUGCCUGAGAACCCAAAUGUGGAUGGCAUGGUAAAGAAAGAAGCAAAGUUCCGGGCAGACAAAGUGACCAUCGGGAAAGACCCGGUGGCACCAGGGGCAACUCAUAGUGAAGAUUCUAAUCAGAAGAGGGCGAUGAAGGGCAGGAGGAGGUUGAACCUGCCUCACCCCUACAGGAACAAGCUGCAGUGGCUGAAGGACCAUUCCAGGGCAGAUGGAGCACGUGAAUGACAACCCUAGAACAAGACAUGGUAGGAAUGCGCACUUCUGUCACGGAAUAUGGGAACAAAGUUGAUGCUUUGGCCACCCAAAAUGCGAAGUCAGAAAAGAAAAUCAUGGGCUAGCUGCGUGCGCUAGGGAGAGCAUGUCAUCUCGACCCUGGUACUGUCUCCGAUCAAGAAUGAUACACCUGGGAAGUUCCUUUACCUCACAUUACUUUACUUUGUAUGACAUGGGGACAUGCCAUCUUUUUAAGUGUGGGGUGGGGGAUACUUUGUUGUAUGUUGUAGGUAGAUAAUUUUAUAGUUUAUUUGUAUAAAUAAAUUUCGACUUGGCCCGACGAUGGAUAUCAUUCGACGGGUUUCUUGAGGGACUAAAGUCAAAAAAUAAAAAACCAAAAAGAUUUUCUUUUGUAGUAGUGUAUCAAUUCCCCCUUGGUUUUUCUUCAAACCACGGUUCUUUUUCAAGGGUUUUGUUUGAACCGGGUAAAGUUAGAUUUUUAUUUUUAAUUAGGAACUUAUGGGCUAUGGGCAGAAUUAGAAUAGGAUCCCGUAAUUUUGUAAUGCCUUGAAUAUAACAGUUACUUUAGUGUGACGCUUAGGCUCAUUUGUUGACUCUUGUAAGAAGGCCUUAAAAUAUAUGUUCUUAAUUUGGCUUAAGUACCCUGAUCUGAGUGUUUGAUGAUCUAAUCUGGAAUGAGUCAUGUGCCAUAUGUGUGUGAGGCUUAUUAUAUUCUGUGAAAAUAUUUAACGCCUAGAACUUACCCUGUGUGUCUGCAAAGCGAAAUGGUAGUCUUGUUUAGUCUGGGAAGUGAUAUAGGCAUAUCUUUGUUGAACCAUAUAUAUACAUACUCCACCCACCUAUUUGCUAUAUACCAUAGUUAACCCCGUAUAGCCUGUAAUCUUGUUUCCUUGCUAACCACAUUACAAGCCCUAUCCCUUGUUUGAAUUGACCAUCUUUUUAAACCCUUUACCUCUCGUAAGCCCUUGAAAUACUAUGAAUUUACAAAGGAUAAAAUGUGGGGUAGUUCGUGGAGCUUUUGAGUGGAACUAGGGAAAUAAGAAGAAAGGUAUAUCUUGUUGGAAAAGCCACUUGUGAAAAAAAAAAAAAAGAAGAAGAAGAACAUUGUUAAUAGUGUAUCAUGUUGUUUGGUAAUAAUUCUUUGGUGGCUUUUAAGGUGAUUGUGCUCAGAGAAGAAGUGUGGGGUGGUAUAUGUGGUGUUAAAGAUGAAAAUAUUGGUUUAACUUAGGUGUGGACUUGAUUGUAAAAUAAAUGUAUUAAAGUGCUUAGGGAGGUGUAGUCACUAUUAUAUCCAAAUAUAUCCUACCCAACUUGCAGCCUCCAUUACAUUCAAAUAAAGUCCUACUUGAUCCUAGACUGAGUGAGCUCAAUAAGUAGAGUCGUACACUAUGGGCAAGCCUAUGGUGCGCUUUCUGUGGCACACGAAUGUCAUUUAUGUGGGUGNNNNNNNNNNNNNNNNNNNNNNNNNUGAAUUAGAGUAAGUAAGCUGGUUAGGAACAUUGCGUGGCUAGAGAGAGUCAACUCUUGAGGUGUAGAUAUUGCACUAAUGUCCUCAAUUUAUGUGAAAUAUUCUUGGUGUGACGAGUAGGGAAGUCGCUUAGUGAAGUUAGGCCUUUUAGAGUGUGGUUUGAUUGCUCGGGGACGAGCAAUGGUUUAAGUGUAGGGUGUUGAUAGUAGACUAUAUUUAUGCAAUUUAGACACUACUUACACUCUAAUUUAGCCACACUUUAUUGAUAUUUGAAUGCUAAAAGAUAACAAAAUGCUCUAAUUAAGAAUUUAAUGCUUUGCAAGAGCUACUCCGAGCUAGGAGGGAGCUAACGAGUGUUUUGGAGUCAACAUGGAGUGUGAAAGGCCAAUCAAAGUUUAGCCCGGUCGAAAAGGAGCGAGAAAAGCAAGCGAGACGACCUCUCCAGGUGUGCGGCCCCGAAUUGGUCUGCGAACUCAAGGCAGUGAGGCAGUGGAAAUCCGUGGCCGGAUCCACGGUCGAAUCCGCGGCCGCGGACAGGCGGACGAAAGCCAAACACGCAGGGUUAAUUAUGUAAUUUCCUAGGCGACUAACCUAAACCUAUAUGAAGCCUAAACUCGCCCAGAAGUCAGAUAUAGCUGGUUUUAGAAGAUUUUAGAGGCAAGAAUAAGGGAGAGAAAAAGGAUCAUUUCCUAAGAGUUUUCAUCUUCUUCUUCAUACUUCUAUUUGUUAAUUAUGAAUUAUUUCAAUGAUUUAUUUUCCAUUAGUAUGAGUAGCUAAAUCUAUUAUCUAGGGUUGAUGGAACCAAUUGUUGGAUGAAGUCUUGACUCUAUUUUGUUAUAAUUAAGCCAUGUUUGUUCAACUACGUAUUGUAUUGUGGUUAAUUGAAAGGGCCCUUGAUUAAUCGUGUCUAGUUACCUUGUGUUGCUUGAGAGAGAAUACUUGGUUAGAUUGUUGUUGAACAACACCACUUUUGGGUAAGUUAAGAGAUUAAUUACUUGAAUUUAUAAGCGGAGUUAGAAAUAACGAAGCUUUGGUGAGAUAAUUCAGAGUUGUAUAAAUUAUUAACUAGAGUAGUUCGAGAGAAUACUUCUAGUGAAUUAUCAUAAUUGAUUGAGAGAUAAUUACGGUAGCCCGGAACUCAUAAUCCUCAUAGAGUAUUACGGCGAGAUUAUAGCUAAAGAGUUAAGAAUUAAUUCGACAAUUGGGAAAAUCAAUAGCCCUAGAUCCUUUUACCCUUAAAUUUAAUUUUAGUCUUGAUUAUUGCUAAUUUUAUUGUCAUUUGUCCUUAGCUAAAUAAAUUUCACUGAUUAUUCAUAAAACUCUUGCAUCCGAAAGUUGUCUGAGCUUAUCAUUAGUAUUAUUUAAUGAAUUAGUAAAUAGGUUAUAGUUCCCUGUGGGAUUCGACUCCAGACUUAAACCGGGUUAUAUUUGCAGCGACCACUUAGUCCUUUUUACAAGGCAUAGUUGGGCAUGAUCAGACAGUCGGAUAUUCCACCAAGUUUUGUUUCAACUACUGUGAAGCCAAUGAGCUCCGAAUGUUGAGUUCUUAGGUGAAAGCCUGAACGGCCCGAUCAUCAGCGACCGGUGGUAGGUCCAUCCAUUCCAUUUGAAACCGGGACACGAACUCUCUGAGCAUCUCAUUAUCCCUCUAUUUUAAUUUGAAAAGGCCCGACUUCCUAGUCUCGACCUUAAUAGCACCGGUGUGUUCUUUCACAAAAGAAUCUGCAAACAUAGCAAAUGAGUCAAUAGAAUUAGGAGGUAAGUUGUGAUACCAUAUCAUAGCUCCUUUUGAUAGGGUCUCUCUGAACCUUUUCAACAAGACAUACUCGAUCUCAUCAUCCUCCAAGUCGUUCCCUUUGAUGGUACAUGUGUAUGAGGUAACUUGCUCGUUUGAGUGGGUCGUUCCAUUGUACUUAGGAAUCUCGGGCAUGAAAAACUUCUUAGGGAUCGGGUUUGGAGCCGCGCUGGGAGGAAAAAGUUUUUUCAUAAACUUCUUGGAAUCGAGGCCUUUCAAUAUCGGUGGUGCGCCUAGGAUUUGGUCGAAUCUAAAAUUGUAGGUUUCUACCUUUUAUCAUUAGCUUUGAUUUCUUCUCUCCUGAUUCUACCCGUUUUGUUAGUUCCUCGAGCAUCUUUAUGAUCUCGGGGUUAGUCCCCGAUUCAUUUUCAUUCAACCUCUCUAUGACCGGUUUCAUCCAUGCGGGUGACUUCCCGAGACAGAUCGGGUUCAAUUCUGCUCGGUGCGCGGUUUUGGUUCUGUUACUAAGCUAUCGCCGCCUGUUGAGCUUGUAAUAUUUUGAAGAUUAUUAGUAAAUUGAUCCCGUCUUCUCCAAUAUUUUGUGUAUUUUGAGCUACCGAUCGGACUCCACCACGGACGCUAUUCUCGGGAUCGGUAAGUAAGUUUGUGUUGAUAGCUAUAUGUGAAUUAGCGUCAAUCGGGUCCGUGACCGGAAUUCCGAUGGGAUCAACGGGCGGUACCUCGUCACUGGGCACUAUGUUGUUAUUUUCACCGUGAUGGCCGGACUCAUUGUCAACAUGUAGUGUUGCUGAUUGUGAGUUUGACAUUUUGAGCUUUAACCUGAAAUUAGAGACACUUCAAAGAACAAGUGUAAAGUAGUGUGUGUUAUGAAAAUUUGUAUCAAAUAACCACUAUUAUCCUUAGCCCCACGGUGGGCGCCAAACUGUUUACCCUCAAAAUCGGAUAACAAUUGAAUUUGUAAGUUAUUUUAAAAAUAUGCGGAUUAACUUGAUACAAAGUGAUAAAUUAAUUUGCAAUUAAAAUAAAUAAUGAUAAAGUAAAUUCAAACCACACGAAUUGGGCAGUUUCAAUCUCGGAAGGUUAGCCACCCUCGAGCCAGAUGCACUUUGAUCGGUAUCACGAUAUAGAGGAACAAGAGCUUAAAGAGAAAAAUAAUAAUGUAUUGCUUCGGAAUACAUGUUACAAUGUGUUAAAUGAAUUAUCAGACCCCUUUUAUAUAGUAGAAAAGUCCUAUUUUAGGUACAAUUCUAUAAAAGGAAAAAAAAUCUCUUGAUUUGCCGAUUGUGAGUUCCUUAUUAAUACAUGUCGAGAUUCCCGCGGUAAUUCGACCGGUCACGGAUAUUUCGGUCUUCUGUUAUGCUAACAAUAUUUCUUCGAGUUCGUUCAGGGCUAGAAUCGAUUCCAGGAUCACGGUCUCGAUAUUCUCGAAGGCGGGCUUUCCAACCCCGGGUUCUAGCCCGGUAAGAUUUGGCGUCGAUCUUCAGUCCUUAUUGCCAUGUUCCGAACCUGACCUACCAUGUCGUAGGCGAUCUCGAUUUCGACCGUAUACAAAAAUAAUAAUGUAAACUUCAGCAAUUUACUUCUUUUAACAAAUCUUAUUGUUCUUGUCUACGCCUGUAUUCAUUCCUCCUACCAAUAGAUAACAGAAUGCCGAUAUAACAAAUAGUUUCUUGUAACAUUCGCCCUAUGCGGUGAUAUCUUUGCAUGCGAAAAAAAUUAUAUACUAGCAUAAGGUUUGCCAAAAGAUUUAUCUGUUGUUGCAUGAAAGUCAACUUAGCUUGAUGGAGCAAAAGAAUUUAUACGCUCACGGUCAGAGAACCUAAACCCUAAUUGACCUGAUUCUGUAAAAAAAGAUUAUGCUCAUGAGUUGUAUAAAACUUAAACUCAUAAAUAAGUAGCAGUAAAUGGGAUUUUUAACUUGUACUAACAAUAAGUCUUUUCACUGACAGAGUAUCUUAAUAUUCUGUAGCAGAUAAUAUAUCUUAUUUUUAAGUUACAAGUCUCAUUUUCUAUGAAUAAAAGUCUGUAAUUACAGUAACUUUUAGGUAACCUUUUAAUAAUAUAUAGACUUUUAAUAUGUUAAUAUAUACUCCCUCUCUUUUAAAUUAGAUGAGAUAUUUUUUAAUUUUAGUAUAUUUCAAAAUAAAUGACACAGUUUUAAAUUUAGAAAUAAUUCAACUUUAAAAUAUUCAUUUUAUUUAUUUUACCCUUAAUGAGAAGUUUUUAUAUCCACACAAAUGUCAUGACACCACAAAAUUUUUACCCCAAAGCUUUUAAGACCAGAAGUUUCAAAAAAAAAAAAUUCUCAACUCCAUUAUGAGUUAAACUAACUCAUUUAAAUUGGAACGGAGGGAGCAGAAGUUAAACUCUAGCAAACAAAGUAGCCAAAAGAGAGAAGAUACAAAAGUUAUUGUGGAUAAUCUGACAAGAGAAAAAAUGUUACAGAACAUAACAAAUCCAGCACUGAAAGGCAAUGAAGAAAAAGUAAAAUAAAGGACUUAAUUCAAGCCUACCCUGAACGUCACUGAUACACGUUAAAAAGUAAAAAUACUAAAAUCAAUACUACAAGUUUCCUAGCCAGUUACAUAGCCUAAGACCAACAACUCUAGAAUCCCACAACCAACCAGAAGAAGCAGGGAAUUAAGACAAAGGGGAUUUCUAGUUAAUGCACCGGAGUAGAUUUGUAAAUUAAAUGGAUCAGUUGAGUACAAGUUUCCUGGUGGGGCUGUGAAAUAGAUGAACCUUGGCGGCGGCGGUGACGAUGGCUUACUCUGUUGAAUUGCUGGUGGUGCUGUGAAAUAGAUGAACCUUGGCGACGGUGGAUUCUGUUGAAUAACUGGUGGACAAUAUGUAUUACUGGCCUUCGGAGGUGGUGGUGGUGGAGGAGAAGAAGAAAUGGGAGGAGUUAAUUGUUGAUUACAUGGUUUCCCGCACGGGCAUUCUCCACACUUUAUACUUGGAUCAGGCAUCAGAGGCCCAUCAACAUUAUUGUCAUUAUCGGAGGUAAUAGCAGUGGCUUUAGCAGAAACUAUAAGUACCGUGAGAACCAGACAAGACAUGAUCAUGAUCAGAAGAAAUUUCUUACUACGUUUAUGCAUUGACAUGCAAUUGUAUAUAGAAGCUAAGGUUUCUCUAUUUGAUCGGUAAUUCUAUUUCUCAAGGUUUAUAGAUAUUAAGAGAUGGCUACAAUAAGGGAAUGAGUAAUAUGAGUUUGUAUAUGAAGUGAACUUUUGGGGGCCUAUGUGUGGCUUAUUACUUAAAGUAGGGUGGGAUGCAUUUUACAUGAGCAAUCAUGGAUAGAAAGGCUAAAGUAAAGGCUUA
rnacentral:lncRNA from 1 species